GUCUAGUUUUACACUUCUUCAAACUUUUGUAAAGUUCUUUCUACGUUGAUUAAUAAAUUUCAAGUUUCACCAAAAAAAAAUUAUAAGAGCAUAACUAAUUUGUCAGAUAAAUAUAUUAAAAUAGAGCUACAUCUCUUAAAUCUUAACAUUAGCACUACUUUAAUAGCCCCGUAAAUGGGCAUAACAUUUAAUGGGAAAUUCAUAUAGAAGGAAGGAGUGAUCUGGCUCGGGAUAAGGGCUAACGAUAUAUUUUUCUUUCAAUUCUUAUCUUUUUCUCCUUCGUAAUUGAUAAUAAAGAUUUGAUUUGUUAUGUCAAAAGAAAAGAUUGAUAUUGUUCUUUGUAUUUUUCCUUGUGUAAAUUAAACAAAGCACACACACAGAAACAGAAACUCAAAUAUAAAUAUCCUACUCUCUCUUCUAUGAGAAAAUAUUGAUUGUGAUGGAUAAGUUGGUUGGUCCUUGACGUCUUCCUCCGAUUUGCAAGAACAAUGAUGACGUAGGAGGAGAAAAUGAAGCUGAAUCUCCUUGCAAGGGUCCUCUUGAUACGAUGGAAUCUCUCGAAGAAGUUUAAACCAUCAGGAGAGGGAUAUCCAAGUUCUACAAAGGGAGGUCCAAGUCUUUCAAGAGCUUAAAGGAUGCUGAGUCCUUGUCGAUGAAAGAUUUAGGGAAGCCAGAUAACCUUUACAGUCGCCGCGGGAGAAAUCUUCUCAGUCACCAGCUUGGUUGUCGCAGUGGGAUCUCUCGAAGAAACCCCUCAAGGCCAACUUCACGGUGGUCUCUUCCUGCGGCGGUGAUUCGUCUUCAGCCUCUCGUUUAAAACAUCAGAAUUGACUGAUGCCACUGAUAGAGUAUCUCGCGGAAAUUUUUUUUUUUUUUUGAGAAUUAAAGUUUCAAAAUAAAAAAGCCUGGAUCGAUCCGAGCCUUGUGCGGGGUAAUAAGUCUAUAAAGUAUUUAAUCAAAAAUAAUAUACAUAUUAUAAAUAUUAAUUUUCGUGUAUUAUUUUGUAUCAUAAUAUUACGUGGUAUAAAAUUUAUGGUUCAUGUUA